rnacentral:lncRNA from 1 species
UUCCUUAUUAAGUUCCACCUACUUCUUAACAUGCUUCUCUUACUGUGCUUAUCAAUUUUUCAGUAUGUUUCAGAUUAGUUUCCUCUACUCUGUUUUCUUUGAACUCUUCUACUGUUCUUUGCAUGUCACUUUCUAUUAUGUUUCUCAUGAAUUUCUGCUGGUGAAAGAAACAAGUUAGAGGUUUCAAUUCUUUUCUGAGAUCUCUGAACUUGUUUCGAUUUAAUUGCUUACCCUCUCUUCUCUGCACUCGAUUAAUGGCGAAAACCCUAGAAUUUGGGGGUUCUUCUAGGUUUGGCUAUGUGAUUUUCUCGAACUAGGGUUUAUUUCAAAACCCCCAACUCUUUGAGACCAACUUUGAGUCUCUGAACUGAGAUUGGUCAUUCUUGUUCUCAUACAAUUUUGAUUUUUUCUAAACCUUUUUUUAAUUCUUUUGCAUACUAUCAGAUGCUUCUCUUCUUCUGGAUUGUGACAAACCACUACCUACUAAUUUUUGCAAUGACACAACAUCCUUUUCCAGCUCAACAUGUUUGUAUGCUCUUUAUAUGUGACGAAUUUCCCUCUAAAUGGGUUUUUGAAUUUAUAAUUAGGUUAGACUUCCUUCUAAAUAAGCCUGAUUGAUUCUUUCCAUUGAUUGCUGAAUUCCCUGUGAUUUGACUCAAGUGAAAAACCUUCUUCAUCUUUUCUGACUCGGUUUAUUCUUGCAAAAUCUCAAAACCUUUUGAUUUACUAGCUACUAAUUGAUUUUAUUACCUUAUUUGUUUCGAAAUUCUGUCCUUAAAUAACUUUCUUAUGGAUUUACCCAUUAUUGCAUGCUCUACACCAAGUUCUUAGUCAAUUUCUUUCCUCAAAUUAUUUAUACCCGUUUGAAUCCUAAUUCCUUAAUUAAAGGAAAUCUUGUGUGAGUGAUUCUUAAUUGAUAUUCAGUUCCAUAACUAUUUUCUUGCCUUAUUUCCUCAUGACUUUCACACUAUAAAUGCACAACUUUUUCACAAACUCAGGACACAAAUUGACAAUCGUUCUGACUCCCACUUACACAAUAAUAUUCUCUUCUUGUCUGCAUUGUGGCCUAUUUUACAAGACCUAUUGCUUUCCUUUAUUUGUUUCUUUGAAACUAGUAUGUCCUGAUUACAACAAUGUGUAUUUACUUCUUUUUGGGUCCAUGACUACUAACUGUUUCUGUACAUUUCAGCACUUAAAUUGGCAUCCUGAUUUCCUUCUGUUCUUUUAUUGUGAACCCCAAACCCUUACCCAUAUAUGUGUUUUGAGUUAUGACUUAAGUAAUCACAAUUUAGGUUGUUGUCCAUGAAUUAAUUUUGAUCCAUUGGGUCUUAACCUCUAAACAAUGUGUUCUAACAGGCUCAUGGUUGUGCAAGUAUCUCUUCAUUGCUUGGCAUACCCACCAGCCUGCCUUUGCCUCUUUACAACUUUCCCAUUCCCGUAUACCCCAUAUAUGUACUGGUUUAAGGUAUUCCCUUUUUUCCCUUUCCCCUUUCAGCAUUCUUCUUCUGCAUUUGUACUCUCUCUUAGUCCCUAAGUUCUGCCCCCUUCUUGUGAGCCUUGCCUUUGGGACCUUGAGUUUCCUCUAAACCUGGUCACUUGAGGGCUGGCCCUUCCACACUGCAUUAUGCCUUAAUCUGGUGAUAAUUUUGUGUGUAGGCAUUAACCGGAGUUCAUAUGAGACUCUUAGGGAACUUUGACACAUCCAAAUGGAAGAAAUGCUUUGGAACAUGAUCUCUUGGAGUUGGUUUACUUCAUAUUUCAUACAUGAAGUCUAAAUCAGGCUCUUCUUGGUUGUACAUUUUAAUUUUUGAUGUAUUUUCUUUACUUUAUUUUAUUUUGCGCUGUAAUAAUAUUGUAACACACUCUUCGGCAUGGCUUGUGAAAAAGGGAGGGAUAACUAUGGAUGCAAAGGGUAGAUAUCCUGUCAAUAGGUC